GUAAACAUAUCACUAGUUUUUUACUAUUUAAAGUGAUAAAGAAAUUUAUACUUGUUACACAAAGGUGAAUAAUGGCUGAAAUUUUCAAGUUCUUUUAUACUAUAGUCAUUCUUGUUUCCCUAUUUUUUGUUAUAGCCAACAGUAGAGGUAUAAGGCCAGGACGAGAAUGUGUUUCUGACUACGAUUGUUAUAUAAAAUAUACGAUUUUAUGGAAAUACAAUAAUGUCUGCACUAAAGGUGUUUGUUACACCUUGUUAGAUGCGGUUCAUCCUUAGGACACGACUGAACAGCAGUAUCGAGGUGUUUGUCCAUGAGAAUAAAGUUGAUAAUUAUUCUCUCACCUAUGCUAUGGUGUUCAUGAAAGUUUGUUGGAUGGAUUAUUGUUUAUGUAUAAAUUAUGUUGUAAGGAUCUCAUAUUGUGAUAUCAAGGCUGGUUUUAAUAAUCUGGUCUCGACUUAAUUUUUUGGAUCCUACAAAAAUAUUACGUAGGCUAUUUUGUCGA